UAUCCGGAUUCACUGGGUUUAAAGGGUGCGUAGGUGGGCAGGUAAGUCAGUGGGGAAAUCUCUGGGCUUAACCCGGAAACUGCCGUUGAUACUAUCUGUCUUGAAUAUAGUGGAGGUGAGCGGAAUAUGUCAUGUAGCGGUGAAAUGCUUAGAUAUGACAUAGAACAUCGAUUGCGAAGGCAGCUCGCUACACUAUGAUUGACACUGAGGCACGAAAGCGUGGGGAUCAAACAGG
rnacentral:rRNA from 1 species